CUUAGGCGUGUGACUGCGUACCUUUUGUAUAAUGGGUCAGCGACUUAUAUUCUGUAGCAAGGUUAACCGAAUAGGGGAGCCGAAGGGAAACCGAGUCUUAACUGGGCGUUAAGUUGCAGGGUAUAGACCCGAAACCCGGUGAUCUAGCCAUGGGCAGGUUGAAGGUUGGGUAACACUAACUGGAGGACCGAACCGACUAAUGUUGAAAAAUUAGCGGAUGACUUGUGGCUGGGGGUGAAAGGCCAAUCAAACCGGGAGAUAGCUGGUUCUCCCCGAAAGCUAUUUAGGUAGCGCCUCGUGAAUUCAUCUCCGGGGGUAGAGCACUGUUUCGGCAAGGGGGUCAUCCCGACUUACCAACCCGAUGCAAACUGCGAAUACCGGAGAAUGUUAUCACGGGAGACACACNGGUAGAGCACUGUUUCGGCAAGGGGGUCAUCCCGACUUACCAACCCGAUGCAAACUGCGAAUACCGGAGAAUGUUAUCACGGGAGACACACGGCGGGUGCUAACGUCCGUCGUGAAGAGGGAAACAACCCAGACCGCCAGCUAAGGUCCCAAAGUCAUGGUUAAGUGGGAAACGAUGUGGGAAGGCCCAGACAGCCAGGAUGUUGGCUUAGAAGCAGCCAUCAUUUAAAGAAAGCGUAAUAGCUCACUGGUCGAGUCGGCCUGCGCGGAAGAUGUAACGGGGCUAAACCAUGCACCGAAGCUGCGGCAGCGACGCUGAUGCGUUGUUGGGUAGGGGAGCGUUCUGUAAGCCUGCGAAGGUGUGCUGUGAGGCAUGCUGGAGGUAUCAGAAGUGCGAAUGCUGACAUAAGUAACGAUAAAGCGGGUGAAAAGCCCGCUCGCCGGAAGACCAAGGGUUCCUGUCCAACGUUAAUCGGGGCAGGGUGAGUCGACCCCUAAGGCGAGGCCGAAAGGCGUAGUCGAUGGGAAACAGGUUAAUAUUCCUGUACUUGGUGUUACUGCGAAGGGGGGACGGAGAAGGCUAUGUUGGCCGGGCGACGGUUGUCCCGGUUUAAGCGUGUAGGCUGGUUUUCCAGGCAAAUCCGGAAAAUCAAGGCUGAGGCGUGAUGACGAGGCACUACGGUGCUGAAGCAACAAAUGCCCUGCUUCCAGGAAAAGCCUCUAAGCAUCAGGUAACAUCAAAUCGUACCCCAAACCGACACAGGUGGUCAGGUAGAGAAUACCAAGGCGCUUGAGAGAACUCGGGUGAAGGAACUAGGCAAAAUGGUGCCGUAACUUCGGGAGAAGGCACGCUGAUAUGUAGGUGAAGUCCCUUGCGGAUGGAGCUGAAAUCAGUCGAAGAUACCAGCUGGCUGCAACUGUUUAUUAAAAACACAGCACUGUGCAAACACGAAAGUGGACGUAUACGGUGUGACGCCUGCCCGGUGCCGGAAGGUUAAUUGAUGGGGUCAGCGCAAGCGAAGCUCUUGAUCGAAGCCCCGGUAAACGGCGGCCGUAACUAUAACGGUCCUAAGGUAGCGAAAUUCCUUGUCGGGUAAGUUCCGACCUGCACGAAUGGCGUAAUGAUGGCCAGGCUGUCUCCACCCGAGACUCAGUGAAAUUGAACUCGCUGUGAAGAUGCAGUGUACCCGCGGCAAGACGGAAAGACCCCGUGAACCUUUACUAUAGCUUGACACUGAACAUUGAGCCUUGAUGUGUAGGAUAGGUGGGAGGCUUUGAAGUGUGGACGCCAGUCUGCAUGGAGCCGACCUUGAAAUACCACCCUUUAAUGUUUGAUGUUCUAACGUUGACCCGUAAUCCGGGUUGCGGACAGUGUCUGGUGGGUAGUUUGACUGGGGCGGUCUCCUCCUAAAGAGUAACGGAGGAGCACGAAGGUUGGCUAAUCCUGGUCGGACAUCAGGAGGUUAGUGCAAUGGCAUAAGCCAGCUUGACUGCGAGCGUGACGGCGCGAGCAGGUGCGAAAGCAGGUCAUAGUGAUCCGGUGGUUCUGAAUGGAAGGGCCAUCGCUCAACGGAUAAAAGGUACUCCGGGGAUAACAGGCUGAUACCGCCCAAGAGUUCAUAUCGACGGCGGUGUUUGGCACCUCGAUGUCGGCUCAUCACAUCCUGGGGCUGAAGUAGGUCCCAAGGGUAUGGCUGUUCGCCAUUUAAAGUGGUACGCGAGCUGGGUUUAGAACGUCGUGAGACAGUUCGGUCCCUAUCUGCCGUGGGCGCUGGAGAACUGAGGGGGGCUGCUCCUAGUACGAGAGGACCGGAGUGGACGCAUCACUGGUGUUCGGGUUGUCAUGCCAAUGGCACUGCCCGGUAGCUAAAUGCGGAAGAGAUAAGUGCUGAAAGCAUCUAAGCACGAAACUUGCCCCGAGAUGAGUUCUCCCUGACUCCUUGAGAGUCCUGAAGGAACGUUGAAGACGACGACGUUGAUAGGCCGGGUGUGUAAGCGCAGCGAUGCGUUGAGCUAACCGGUACUAAUGAACCGUGAGGCUUAACC
rnacentral:rRNA from 1 species